rnacentral:rRNA from 1 species
UACGAAGGGGGCUAGCGUUGUUCGGAUUUACUGGGCGUAAAGCGCACGUAGGCGGAUCUUUAAGUCAGAGGUGAAAUCCCAAGGCUCAACCUUGGAACUGCCUUUGAUACUGGGGAUCUCGAGUUCGGGAGAGGUGAGUGGAACUGCGAGUGUAGAGGUGAAAUUCGUAGAUAUUCGCAAGAACACCAGUGGCGAAGGCGGCUCACUGGCCCGAUACUGACGCUGAGGUGCGAAAGCGUGGGGAGCAAACAAGG